UACGGGGGGGGCAAGCGUUGUUCGGAAUUACUGGGCGUAAAGGGCUUGUAGGUGGCCAACUAAGUCAGACGUGAAAUCCCUCGGCUUAACCGGGGAACUGCGUCUGAUACUGGAUGGCUUGAGUGUGGGAGAGGGAUGCGGAAUUCCAGGUGUAGCGGUGAAAUGCGUAGAUAUCUGGAGGAACACCUAUGGCGAAGGCAAUCCCCUGGGCCUGCACUGACGCUCAUGCACGAAAGCGUGGGGAGCAAACAGG
rnacentral:rRNA from 1 species